GACGAACGCUGGCGGCGUGCUUAACACAUGCAAGUCGAACGGAAAGGCCCUGCUUUUGUGGGGUGCUCGAGUGGCGAACGGGUGAGUAACACGUGAGUAACCUGCCCUUGACUUUGGGAUAACUUCAGGAAACUGGGGCUAAUACCGGAUAGGAGCUCCUGCUGCAUGGUGGGGGUUGGAAAGUUUCGGCGGUUGGGGAUGGACUCGCGGCUUGUCAGCUUGUUGGUGGGGUAGUGGCUUACCAAGGCUUUGACGGGUAGCCGGCCUGAGAGGGUGACCGGCCACAUUGGGACUGAGAUACGGCCCAGACUCCUACGGGAGGCAGUAGUGGGGAAUAUUGCACAAUGGGCGGAAGCCUGAUGCAGCAACGCCGCGUGCGGGAUGACGGCCUUCGGGUUGUAAACCGCUUUCGCCUGUGACGAAGCGUGAGUGACGGUAAUGGGUAAAGAAGCACCGGCUAACUACGUG
rnacentral:rRNA from 1 species